rnacentral:rRNA from 1 species
CAGCCGCCGCGGUAAUACAGAGGGUGCGAGCGUUAAUCGGAUUUACUGGGCGUAAAGCGUGCGUAGGCUGCUUUUUAAGUCGGAUGUGAAAUCCCUGAGCUUAACUUAGGAAUUGCAUUCGAUACUGGGAAGCUAGAGUAUGGGAGAGGAUGGUAGAAUUCCAGGUGUAGCGGUGAAAUGCGUAGAGAUCUGGAGGAAUACCGAUGGCGAAGGCAGCCAUCUGGCCUAAUACUGACGCUGAGGUACGAAAGCAUGGGGAGCAAACAGGAUUAGAUACCCCAGUAGUCCCUGUCUCUUAUAC